ACCAUCCUCUAGCCCGCGCAGGCGCGAAGGCUAUUGCCCAGGGCUGAGCCACUGCUGCGGUCCCAGGAGCCCCAGGCGUUCUUGGCUGAGGGAAGCGGUUACUCCCUAGAGCUGCUCCAGUGCGCAGCAAUGGUCAGGAAGCUGUGCUGUGGGAGCCUUCAGGUGGGGUGCCCUGUUGCAGCUUACCGGCGGGAGCCGAUCUUUCCGGUGUUUUGAGUGUGUGUGUGUAUUUGCCCUAUGGGGCUGUCUUGUGCCCAUGGAAGACAGAAGAGGACUUCAGAUGCCCUCAGACUGGUUACAGUUGUGCGCUGCCAUAUGGGUUAAUUGACCUGAGGCAAGAAGACACAUUCUGAAUGCAGGUGACAUCAUUCUAUGGGCCAGGGUUCCCGACGGAAUGAAAAGACUGUAAUAGAGGUGUGAGCAUUCGUUGCUUUCUGCUUCCUGACCACUAAUGCAAUGAGACCAGCUGCCUCCUGCUGCGUGGUACCUAAUACCCUCAAACUGUAAUCCCCAGGAAACAGAUUCUUCUGAAUCAGGUUCCUUCCGCCAGAUAUUUUGUCAAAGCAUGGAGUGACGCAACAAAGUCACCUAAUCCAGAGUCAUUCUUGGUGCUGGGGGAUAUGGCAAAACAGCCACUGCCUUCUGUGGAGAAGACACAGUUAAUCAACGGUUAUACAAUACGAGCUGUGGCGUGCCGUGAAAAGGAAAGCACAACACUCAUAGAACCACGGCAGCAGCUAUCACGUCUGUGCGAUUUUAACGGUUGCAACUAGGAAGGCUUCUCUGGAGGUGGCAUAACUUCAGUUAAGUGGUUAUCCAGACAGCUAAUGACAGUCGUGGUCCCAACGAAGCAGAGCAGGAUAUAGUGAGGGGCAGAUGUGAGAUGUGACCAAGAAAAGGAGGCGGGUAGAUGCAUUGAGGUUUCCCAGAGGGAUGAGAGAACUCACUACUGGAGUUUUAGAUAGAUCGAGUUUUCAACAAUGAGAUGGUGCUCAGUUUUUAAUUCGAAUGCUCUUAAGUCCUGCUCUCUAUUACACCAUAUUGUGUAAAACUGUGGUGGUGGGGUUUUUUCCCCCCAAGACUGAUUUGUCCUGAGAGACUCCAUUUUAUAUGCAACUUUGACUCCUUUAGGGAGUUGACUGCAUUUGAGUGAGCAUAUGAUCUAUACCAUCUUUCUUGCACCCUUGGAAGCACAGACUAAGAAAUGACUUAUUCCUGGGAGUAGGCAGGGAGCCAGCCACCCUAUAGACAUAUCAAGGUGAACUGGUUUGAUAAGAGCACACAACUGUAUUGAAAUUAUAUCAGAGGACUGUAAGGUGGGCCCAGCAAAUAAGACACAUGCCACCAAGCCUGAUCAAUUUGAGUUUGAUCCUCAGAACCCAUCUGAUAGAUAGAGCCAACUCCUGCAUGUUGCCCUCUGACCUCCAUGGCAUACACACGUAAAAAAUUAAGUAAAAACGUAAUGAAACACCAGGAAAACUGUGCCUGAGAACAUAUUAGAUACAUAGGCCAUGGAACUCGGACCCCACAGACGGCAGAGACUAUGACUGUAAUACUGAUCGACGGCCCCACUAACCAUCCGGUGUGGGACUGUGGGAGAACUUGACAACUCCCAGCUCUCCCAGGGGCUUCUGCUCUGCCUUGUCCCAGCUUGUUAACACAGGCUACUCAAAUUACCAUCUGCCUGGCUGUUUGCUUACCUAGAUCUGCAUCUAUCUGUCCACCUAUUUGUUCUUAUGGACCAGGUCCUGCCCUUUCACCUCUGCAGCUGGACUCAACUGUGCAGCUCAACUCUGACCCCGUAGCCUGACUCUGUAGCAGUAGCCACAUCCCUUUAAAAAAACUUAAGCUGGCUUUGUAUCUGACAGCUCCUUUGCCUUUUUGUCAGUUUCUAGCUUUGGACUCUCAGGUCUCUUUGAAAUGACCUAAAACGCCUUGUUUCUUUAACCCUUUGUAGUCAUUCUAUGUACUGGCUAUUCCUGGUUGUCAACUUAACUAUAUCUGGAAUGAACUACAAUCCAGAAUUGGAAGGCUCACCUGUGAUCCACAUUGUGAGGCUGGGAGAUAUGAGUUUCUGACCUGGAUCUUGGCAUGGAGAUCUUGAGGCAUAGUGGUUACGAAUCCCAGGAGACUAAGGCAAGGAGAUCUCUUGAGUUCAAGGUCAGCCUGGGACAAAACAAGUCCCAGAUCCAGGUGUGGUGGUACACACCUUUAAUCUGCACCACACCUCAUGCUGGAGACCUACAUAAGGACAUUUGAAGAAGGAAGAUUCGCUUCUCUUUGCCUGCUUGUGUUUACUUGCCAACACAACUGUUUGAAUCUACUAGCCUUGUGGGACUAAGCAGCUACUAGAUCCUUGGACUUCCCAUUCACAGCUGAUCGUUGUUGGGGAGUUGGACUACAGACUGUAAGUCAUCAUAAUAGAUUUCCUUACUAUAGAGAGACAGACUAUAAGUUCUCUGACUCUAGAGAACCCUGACUAAUACAUUUUGUAACAUACAUACAUACAUACAUACAUACAUACAUACAUACAGAUUGAUUUGCUGUAUAAUGUGUGUUAUCUCAGCCUUAAUAUGGUGAUUAAAUGAAAGAAGCCCAUGCUAAUACCUUUAAUCCCAGCACUUGGAAGGCAGAGGCAGAAAGCUCUCUGUGAGGCCAGUCUGGUCCACAUAGCGAGUUCCAGGCAAGCCUGCCUUACAGGGGGAGACCCUAACUCACACUCAAAUAGAAGUUUUAAGAAGAGCAGACAGAGCCAGGCAUGGUGGAGCACACUUUUAAUUUCAGCACUCCAGAAGCAGAGGCAGGUGGAUCUCUGUGCAUUCAAGGCCAGCCUGGUCUACAAAAUGAGUUCCAGAACAGCCAGGGCUACACAGAGAAACCCUGUCUUGGGGAUUGGGAGCGGGGGAGGAGACAGAAUAAAAUGCAGGAAAGGAGAAUUGCCAUCACCAGAGGACUAUAAAGCAGGUUAGAGUGUUAUUGGACAUUCCAGUGGAGAAGCUGAAGAAGUAGAAAAAGAGGAUAACUGGUCCAAAGACAGACAUCUUAGAGCAGACAGUGGAGAAUGAAGGAAGGUCAUUGAAGGAAAUUAAAACAAAAC
ensembl:antisense Gm26805 predicted gene, 26805